CUCACAAAUUGCGAGAUCAUGACCUGAGCCGAAGUCAGAUGCUGAAUUGACUGAGCCACCCAGAGGUUUUUGAGAAGAUUUUGUUUUUAAUUAUAUUUCUCCAACAAUUCUGGUAAUGAAGACAGUAUGUUUGGAAGUUCCUGAACUGAGCAAUGCAGCUGAAGUUCUGUGGCCACACAAUAGUCAGGUAUGUUUGCUACAAAGUACAUUUUAAUUGAUUUGAAAUAUGUAUAAACUUCCAAAGGAAUAAAAGUAUAAGAGCAUCUAUGCCCAGACCAAAGAACCUAGAAGGGAAGAAAGGAGAAUUUUUCUGCCCCUGAGGAUGAUAACCAUGAAGGGACAAACUUCACUAGUUGGAUACUGCUCACUUCAUGGCUGCUGGCAGCUGAGAGAUUCUAUGACCACUGACAAAAGCUAGCAGAAGAUCAUAAAACUGAAGGGAGUAAGAACUUCCAGAACUAACAGAAAAACGAGACUCAAGCAAAACAAAAUCAGUAACAAAGGACUAAAUGAGUCAGAAACACUGGUUAUGUUACAGAAGCUUUGCCUGGAAUGUCAUAUUUGAGAGAGGUAUGUAUAGACUCAGAGGACAAAACAGCUUUAAGGACUAUGCUUAAUAUUACAAAGCCACUAAAACCCCUUGGGAAGACAGAGUGGUACCUUGCCUACAGGGUUUCCAGCAGCCUUCCUAGGUGACUUAGGAUGGACAUUUCCUGGGAGGUGCAGGAACCUCUAGAUAUUCUGGGAGCCUCAAGAAGAGAGGAAUUCACCCACAUCUAAUGGUAUUACAGGCAAGUCUGAUGGCAAAUCUUUGGCUUGGCUUCUCAUCCUUGAGAGGAUUUUAGAAGUUCAAUCUGAGCCUCCUUAUAAAGUUUCUGUAAUGCAGAUCUUAAAAGAAGUUAUAUAAUUGAUUGCUAUUCUUGAUGUGCUUAUGUAAAUAAGCCAAGUUUAAUUGGCUAGACUUACUCCACAAACAAAUCAGCUUUAAGUUGGCUAUCUUUGCUGAAAAUAAGAGUAUUUUUAGAAGGAAAAAUUAUGUUUUGGUAACACACUUUUGUCAAUAUUAAAUUCUAGAUCUCAUUGUUUUUGAGGGUUUGUUGUUUGCCUACAAACUGGAUACUGAAAUUUUCUGGUUUCCUCAAAUAUCUGGCUAUGACACUCCAAAGUAACAUUCCAAUUUUCUCCCAUUCUUUUGACUUGGAAUCUUUGAGAACUAAAAUUGCCCCUUUUUCUCAAUGCCCUGCAGACUGAAGCUAGAUGACUAUGUAACCUUCAGAAAAAUCACAACAGCUCAUGUUUAGACAAAUCGUGUCUGUUGCUAUGUGAACCACUUAGAGUUUACCUGAAUACCUGAUGACAUUAUCAGAGAAGUUCAGACUGCAAAAGAUACUUUAACUCCUACGUCUAGAAAUGUCUCAACUGGCUGCCCUCAAGAUUCAAAAUGGAUUUACAGUAAAACCUUGGUUUGCAAGCGUAAUUUAUUCUGGAAACAUGCUUGUAAUACAAAGGACUUGUAUAUCAAAGCGAAUUUCAAGAACCAUUGGCUCAGUUGUGAUCAUGGGAUGUUCGGUGUCAUGUACUACUCGUAAUGCCUACCUUGGAAAGCCCACCUGAAAGACCUGCAUCCUUAAAUGAAACACAACUCUUUAAAAUGACCUAUUCUCAGGUCUGAGAGACUGGCUCACUGAGUCUAUUUAUUGUAGCAAUCCCUGCACCCAGUGUGGGACUUGAACUCACGACCUCGAGAUCAAGAGCCGCAUGCUCUACUGACUGAGCCGGCUAGGCACCCUGAAAAAUAUGGAAAGAAUAUCACUGGGAAAAAUAGAUGUUCAAUGCCAACACUAAGGAAAAAUUCAAAUAGAAGACAAACUACCCGUCAUAUAGUGCAAAAUAAGGGAUAAAAAAAAUCAGGGUAAAAGACUGCCUUUGGGACAUACCUAUUAUAGACAAAAGACUUAAACAUUCUAAUAUUAAACAAUUUUAUUCAUAUGGGUCUUCUCUAAAGGCCCUGCCACACAAUGCCCAGAGAUGUAAGUGCAAAUGUGUUCACUUCAUACUGCGAGUAAUGGUUUAAAAAAAAAAAAAGAGGAGUGACCAGAAACACUAACAUCUAACUGCUCAUUUGGGGAAAUGGAUAAAUAAAUUGAGUUAUUCAAAAAAUGGAAUACUUUACGAAACAUUAGAAUGAUGUACUAGGUCUCCAUGAAAUAGGGAAGCCGAAAGGACUCCAGUUGAGAAAAUCUUUAUUUCUGCUGUUUUUCUGCAAGGUCCCAUUUCUGGAUAAGCCAAAACACUAUAUUCCCACCUCAAGGGGAAAACAAGAAAAUUAAUAAUUCUCUGAGUUUUGUCCUACGCCCCAAACACCUGAUAACAUUUAAGAAGAGCCAGAUCCCAAACAUGUUCCAGAAUAUCAGCUCUGAACAAUCCUCUGCUGACGCUGGCAUCAACCCUCCUUACCGUCAGUGAUUUAUGCAGUAAUACCUAUUGUUCACCUGACACUCACCGUUGAUAGAUUACCCUAGAUUCCUACUCUAGAUUCCUGGAGGCACAUGGACCCUAGACCCCUUUCCAGGAUAAAUUCCUAACCGCACGUGAUAGGGAAACUCACUCUCCUUUCCUUUGAGUCUCCCAGACACUCCGUCUGCUUUGCUCUGACACACUAUUCAAUAAACUGUUUUUAAUUUCUCCGGCUCAUGUUUGAUUUCUAUUCUGCAUGAAGCCAAGGACCUUACUGGCUAGUCCUACAGGACCCUCCUCCAUAUCCUUGGACCCAGCCUACCUGCAUCAUCCAUAUGUCCAAAAUGGAAAAAAUGCAAAAGCACAAUACUGAGUUAAAAAAGUAAAUUGCAAGAUGUCCCCUUUAAGAUAGCAUUUAUGUUAGAUUUUUUUAAAAGGAUUUAUUUAUUUUUGAGAGCAAGUGGGGGAGGAGCAGAAAUGGUGGGAGACAGAAGAUCUGUUGAAGCAGGGCUCAAAACUCAUGAGCAGUGAGAUCAUGACCUGAGUUGAAGUCAGACACUCAACCGGCUGAACCAACCAGGUGUCCCACAUUUAUGUUAGAUUUUAAACACAUGCACCCAUGUGCAUUCUUUUCCAAUGUUUACUAUAUGUGUAAAGCUCUGUAAAUGAAAAUGCAAACAUAUAUGUGCUUGUAUGCACACAUAACAUGUUUACACAAAUAGUAAAAGUAAAAAAUAAAACACUCAUGGGCAUAAGAUAUUCCAAACUCAGAACAGUGUUUGUAUCACAGGAGGGAGGGAUAGUGAGUUGUUAUAUAAUUUUGCAAAUAGCU